UUCUUAAAAAAAUCACAAAAAAAUGAUCUAUUUAUUGAUUGUUAUCUCAACAAAAUUCAGGCAAUAAAAUGUAGCAACUCGAGCAGAGAGAGAGAGAAAAAAAAAAGAAACUUGUAUUUAACUAUAUAAUGUUAAAUACCUAUAGAAAGCUUUCCCAAGUCUCUCAAUCGUGGCGAGUGUAGGAAUAAAGGAAAUGGGUGAUAUUCAUCACCACUUAUUUCCUAUCAUAUGGGAAUGAAAUAAGGGCAUAGGCAAGUGUAAAAUAUAUGGAGAACAAGCACACACUGAUGAUGACAUCCAAGAAUUUCACACUGCUCAUCUUCAUUUCUUUUUGGGGACUCCUAGUCUCAAGCGGAAGUCCUCUUCCAUAAGGGGAAGGCCGUCCCUCAACUUGACUUUUGGUUCCCAACCUAGCAAUUCCUUUGCCUUUGUGAUGUCAGGUUUCCUCUGUCUUGGAUCAUCAGGAGUAUUUUCCACCAUCUUUAUCUCCACAUCAGGAUUGAUAAGCUAGAAAAAAAAAAAAAGAAUUAUCAUUAAUAAUGUUUGAACUGCAAUGAGACCAGGAACCCAUUUUCUCACAGAGCUAUAUCAGAAAUCAGAAGUUGCUUAUUGCUCUCAGGUUUAUAUUAGGUGCGUAGUUCCAGAUUCUCAUUCUCAGAAUAUGCAUGAAUACCCAUUCACAAGAAACCCUUUCAAAAUGUAAUUUUAGACAUCUGGAAGAAAAGGGACUCGUUAGUCAUUACCUUGUUACUACCACAAAUGUGGCAAUUAAACUACUACCAUAAUAUUUACCCAUUUUUUUAAUGUGGCCUACUUAGUAAUUUGCAUAGAUAUAUUGGCUGGGAGGGAAAAAAAAAAUAAAGUCAACACUAACCUCCUUCACAUUUUCAGCAAGUUCAAUCAUGGUAAAUUCACCUGGAAGAGUACAGAAAGAAUAGCAAGUUAAGUAAUUUUGUGUGAUGAGGAUAUGAGAUUGAAUCUAAUCUUGAGUAAGAGAACCACAAUAUUUAUGGAUGGGCACAUCAGAUUUAGCAGGAUAACCUGGAUUUCCAAUGUUGAUUGGCCCAGUGUUCUCUCCUUCCAUGAGUCGAAUGAGGCCAUCAACCUGGUAUGUUUUAAAUAAACAAUUUGACAGACUUAGUGAAACCAUACUACAUAAACAUCAACUGGGAUUUUAAACAAAUAAUAUUAUGCAUUCAGCUCACCAUGUCAGAAACAUAACAGAAACUGCGAGUUUGAGUUCCAGGUUUUUGGACAGUCAAUGGUUCAUCACUACAAAGUGAAAAAUGCAAGUGUAAAUUUACAACUAGAGCAUAGAUUUUUAAUUAAUGAACUGAAGUCUGAAGUUAGAAAACAAAGAAUUCAGGGUUCAUCGCAAGAAAGGUCUCCCAUGUGAUUAUCUUCCAAACAAAUGGAGCAACUUAUACACUAAAUCACCAUAAAAGUUACAAUAAUGCACAAGAACUUACCGAAGUGCUUGAGCAAUGAAAUUGCUGACAACACGCCCAUCAUCAAUAUUCAUGCGUGGUCCAUACGUGUUAAAAAUUCUAGCAAUGCGAAUUUCUAAAACAGAAACGUAGAAAACUAUGUCACAAAAAUUGGCACCAAGGAAAACUUUGUUCAGGAUGGAGGAUAAAAAUCCAUGUUUACCUAUCCCAUGCUGCCUAUGAUAAUCAAACAUCAAGGUCUCAGCCACACGCUUUCCCUCAUCAUAGCAGCUCCGAACCCCAAUUGGGUUAACAUUACCCCAGUAGCUCUCUGGCUGAGGGUGCACAAGAGGAUCACCAUAUACCUCUGAAGUUGAUGUAAGCAAAAUUCUGCUUAACAAUAUUAUGAAUGAGUGCAUCUAGUCAUUGAUAUUAAUAAAAAUGACAAAUUCAUAAUCAAAUCCCCUAACCUUGCUCCAACUCGCUUGGCAAGACCCAGCAUGUUCAGUGUGCCAAUCACAUUUGUUUUUAUUGUCUGUCAGGAUAUCAUGUAUUUCCAAGUUAGAAAAGCUUGAGUUCUGCUAUAUGACAAACAUGUAUGUAAAAUCUAAGUAGGUGAAAAAAAUACAUGUGAACCAUGUUAUGCAUUGUAAAAAAUCAUGGAACUUGCUGCUGUCCGUUUUGUGUCCUUGAUUAAAAAUGUAUUUAGCUUAUGACAUUGUACACCAACCCUCAAUUGAAUGCAUCCAUAAACAAGUCAAAUGUAAUGCUUAGGCUUCAUAAUGUAACUGAUAAACCUAGAUUGCUGGGGUGUGUAAUGCCCGACUUUCUGAUUGUCUGAGCUAAGGAUUAUUAAUGGAUAUAAUUUACCCUUUAGUUAUUUCUGGCACUUCAAAUACAGACAGGUGCUGAAUAGGACAGUAAAAGUGGCAAAAGAGACUUCCUAGAUGUGCAACUGAUAGAGGGCAAAGAACUAGCAAGCAAUUCUUUUCGUUCUUACAAGUUGGGUAAUCCAUGGCAAAGUGUAUGGGAAAAACACAAAAACAUAGCAUACUGAAUAAAAAAUUGAUCGCAUGUUUACACACCUUCACGGGAUUAUAUUUAUAGAAAAUGGGAGAAGCAGGGCAUGCAAGAUGGUAAAUCUGAUCAACCUCAAUCAACAAUGGCUCCGUGACAUCUAGGAAGAAACAAAAUUACACAAUUCACCCAAAUCAAAACUGUAGAACUGCAAAAAGAAAUUACAGGCAACAGGAAAUAUUGAUGAUAGAGUGGCACUUCUGAAACAUCAUGCAUGUAGAAUAAAAAAUAAUAACAAAGACCCUUCAUUAAUUUUAAAAUUGUGGAGCAAACUUAAUUUUAGAAUGCAGUUGAGAGCCAAGAAUGUUAUGAUACUAGAAGUCUUAAGCUUGCAACCAAGGGAUUACACAUUUAAGGCACACUAGGUGAACAUUUUCACCAUCAACAAUUUCUUUUAUUUUCAAUUCAUUCUUCUGUGUUAUCAGAAAGCAGCAAUGUUUUUAUAUACAUCAACAUCUCAUAAUGAUUUCUAUUUCUAAGCAGAGACCAAACAAGUCAAUAAUAUGUCUCAGGAAUAGAAGGCACAUGAAGACCAUAUUUUAUACAGCACCACUAGCAGAUAACAUGAAUGCAUAACAAUAUCUUAAAGAGUUAAUUCAAGUAAUGAGCAAUAAUUAAUUGAAGUUGAUACAUACACCAGCACCACAUAUCAAGAAAGAUAAAUUUUGAUAAGAAACUAAAAGAUAAGAACAAACCAUGACGAAUGAGUUCAAAUCUUGGAUGGCCAAUCCAUUUUUUAAGAUUGUCCUUUGAUCCAGUAAAGUAGUUAUCAGCAACUAUUACCUCAUUUUUCUCAUUUUCCAUUAGUUUGUCAACCAGAUGUGAUCCAAUGAAUCCAGCUCCUCCAGUAACCAAAAUUCUCAUAUUGGACUGGCAUCAAAAAUGAAAGUCAUUAUUGAAGAGCACAUGGAUCAACACAUAAUAGAAGAGAGAAGAAAAAUAAUUACACAACAAAGUAAACUUUCUUUUCUUGAAAGAGCCAGAAAAUUGUAACAAUGCAAUUGGAGACGCAUAAAAAAAAGCCCAACCAAGUGAGAAGUUAAAUCCACCUAAAUUUGAAGUAGAACAAUGGCAUUAAGGAAAUAUGUCCUUGAUCUCAUGGAUCUGAGACAGUAACUGUAACAGGGAUAGGAAGGAUCUAUGAUUCUUGGAGCCCAGUCUAUAACAUUCAGUAAUCCUUUCCAGCUAUUGAAAAUGUGAUUCAUCUUUCAAAUCCACACUCACAAAUAAAUCAAGCAAACAUUUUCUUAAAUUAGUUUCCAAAAUAUAAUUGAUAUGAAUUUCUUUAACAUGCAUAAGGUUAAAUCUGACAGGGAAAUGCAUCAACACCUGCAAACUCAUCACAAACAAUUUAACUAAAACAGCUACUUCCCUAUUCUUUUACUUAUGGGAAUUUAUUAGAUUGGGCAUCAUGAAAGGCACUGAUACCAGUCCAUCACAGCUAACUACAUUAAAAUUUUUCAAAUUUAUACCAUUACAUAUUUCAAAUAAUGGGACACUUCACUACUUCUGCUCCCACAUUGACUCAUUUUCUGAAAAAACUUGGAGUUGCGCAAAGGAGAAGGCGUUGGAGGUGGCUUAGUCGUUGUUUGGUACUCCCCAUUUGAAGAAUUGGUCGCCAUUUUUCAGAUCUCAAUCACCUGAUGACAAUGAACUACAAAGGAAAAUAACCCAAAACCGAGACUUGCUUUCUUGUGAUUCACAACACUGAAGGGAUCAGAGACUGAUAUUUAUAGUCCAAAAAUCGAAACUUCACCCACCAAAUACUACCAAAAAGAAAUAAUAAAUUACAAUAAAGGAAAAAGAAAAAGAGAGAGCCUUUAAAAUCACGUUAAUCCAAACAAAAAUCAUAAAAGCCUUCGAAUUUACGAAAGUAAUAAUAGAGUGUGUCCUUGAUGAAAGCUCCUCCGUAACAAAUACCAAAAACCCAGAUCACACCAAACCCACGUACAGCUCACACUCUCAACUAAAAACAAAAAUCACAA
rnacentral:misc_RNA from 1 species